rnacentral:lncRNA from 1 species
CGACCUUAAAACUGGCGUUUGUUUCGCAUCAGGUGGUUCAGGAAUUGACCAUCUUACAUCCAGAACACUGGUUAAGAGAAAAACUACGAACUUGUUAAUUAUUUCCUUAAACACUAUUAUAUAUCUUGACCCAUAUUUUCUAAUUAAUAUAUUUUUUCCUUGGAUGGUCGUGUGUUGUUGUUUGGUUAGGGAGUUUUGUCCACAGGCGACCAAAUAGGAGAUUUCAAAAAAUAUUUGAAGAAACUAAAGAAUGCGACGAAAAAUAAGAAAGAAAUGAAAAAAAUAAUUUCAAACGCAGUGUUUCUUAUUUCUGAAGGAAAUAACGAUAUUGGAUACUUCGUGACUCCCGCUCGUCUACGAUUACGAUCCAUAGAUACAUACACAAGUGACAUGGUUUUUUGGACAAAAGCAUUCCUACAAGUAAGACUUUAUAAGAUACACAUAAAUAUAUAUAUAUAUAUAUAUAUAUAUAUAUAUAUAUAUAUAUAUAUAUAUAUAUAUUUGUUUUUGAAAACUUAAAUAUAAUUAUGUUUAUCAAGCAAUGAUAUAGUAUGCAUUUCUUCACAUUCUUUUGGUUUAUGUAACUAUAUAUAUGUAGGAUUUAUAUGAUCUUGGAGCGAGAAAAUUCGCGGUGAUGGGAGUGAUUCCGGUAGGAUGCUUGCCUUUCCAUCGCUUCCUAUUUGGUGGAGUAUUCGCAUGGUGUAACUUCAUGAUGAAUAGAAUUUCGGAAGACUUCAACACAAAAUUACAGAAAGCUCUUAUUGGUUACGAAGUAGAAAAAAGUUUUAAAGGUGCAAAGUUUGUUUACGUCGACAUGUACGGCUCUAUUAUGGAUCUUAUCAACCAUCCUAAGGCCUAUGGUACGUAAUCAAAUACACAUUCAAUAAACAUAUGCAUAAAAUAACCAAGUGAUGAUGAUAAUAAUGUUGGCUGCGUUAUCUUUCUAUUAAAAGAUUACACACAAGUCCUAUUAAGUAAUAAUGGCAAAUUGGUUAUGUAUGUGUGUACACAUGCUUGCAGGGUUUACAGAAGCGAAAAGAUCGUGUUGUUGUAUGGUGACAUCGAUAAUACCAUGCCGAAACCCGGAUGAGUACGUAUUCUAUGACUUCGCUCACCCCACCAUGAAAACCUAUGAAGUAAUAUCUAAACCUCUUGUCUAUCAGAUGAGGAAAGGCCUUGCAUGAUUUAGUUCCUUGUUUCUUACCAUGUUUAAUUUUAAUAUUCAUGUAACAGGCGACAAUAUCAUACAUGACGAUAUAUAUUCUUAGUAUAAAGAAUGUAUAAACCAGUGAUAUAUAAUUGUAUUGUCCUUUCUUCUAUAAUGUCACAGAACAAACGCGCUUGUCAAUAAAUGCAUGUAUGGUUACGGAAAUAACACAGAAGAGGGCUUUUAAAAACGAUUGUAAAACCUGUCUACGACUGACCACCCAAAGCCAACGUUCGAUCCAUGCUUGACCCCUCAAUAACGAUUACUAGCAAAUUUAUUAAGAAAAAUCACAGGAGAAAGUAACAGCAAAAUAUAUCAUAUAUAAGCAUCUCCUUCCAUAACCUGGAGAUGAAGCUUUUUAAUGUUGCCACCGUAUUGAGGUGACAAAAAAACAAACCAACCACACUUAUAUCAAUCAGAACCAAACUUAAGGAUACAUGCAAGCCAUUUGUUUGAUAUUUUUAACAACCCAAAGAGUUUAGUUUUGGUUUGGUUUUAAGCCAAAUUUAACCAAAAAAUCAAUAAUUAUUUAAUUAACUAAAUCAAACAUAUUAAUGAUAUAUUAAUAUAUAGUUAAACCCACAUUUUUUCUCUUUUGGUACGAAGUUCCAUAUAUUUACUUUUGGUUUCAUUUAUAUUUUAUAAAUUGUUUUGUUUUAAUCAAGGUUUUGAAAACCGGACCGGAUCGACCGGUCGAAUCGGUCCGACCGUGACUCAUCAAAGAAGCCGAAUCCGGUUCGGUUUAAAAUCCGGAUUUGAGAAAAAACGGUGAAAGCGGCUAAAAACCGGUAAAACCGGUGAUCCGGUUCAACUUUGAAAUCCGGUUCAACUUUGAAACCCGGUUCAAUAGAAAUCAACAUAUAAUUAAUGUAUUUUCAAUUGUUAUUAAAAUAUAAUAUUUCAUAAUUAAUGUUUAAUUUUUACUAUUUAAUUAGUUUUCUAAUUGAUUCUUUUUUUUGAAGAAUUUUUGUUUAAAUCUUUUUUUGACUCUCAUAUUUUAUUCUCAUUUUUCUAUAUUCAUAAAAUUUAAGAUUUUUAGUUGUAAAAAUAAAUAAAUAUGUAAUUUAAACGGUCAUUCGUUUUUUUUAAUCAAUUUUAGUUGAUAUAGUAUUCACUUGUAUAUAUAACUAAAUUUAUGGUUAUUGUUUAUUAUCUAAUUAAUAAAAGAGAACAUAGAAAAUAUUAUAUGUAGAACUACAUUUUAGGUCUAUAUAGUGUAACUAUAUGAUUAUUUAGAUUUAUUUAUUUUUAAAUAGAAAACCCGGUUCGACCGGUUGAACCGAUCCGACCACUUAACCAGUAGCUUUACCGAGUCGGUAUCCAGUCCGAUUUUAAAAACAUUGGUUUUAAUCAAACAACACCGAACCAAACUAAAAGCAACAACAAUAAACCAACCAAUAACUCCGACUAAAUUCAGUUAAAGUACCAAACUGAUUUAACCAAACCCAACCAAAUCCAAAACUGAAUCGAAAUGUCCUACCACUGCACCGUAUUUUCUGUCUUUCUUUUGGUAUUCCCGAUCGAUCUAUAUGCACAGUAUUGUACGUGAUUGAGUAAACGCAUAAGUGGCCCUAAACCAGAGCAGAGGAAGCAUGGGAUAUCCAGCCUCCAAGCUAAUAAGUAUAUAAUACAACUUUAUUUUUAAAAAAAUCUGUUUUACUCUAGUGGUUGUAUCCUCAUUCUAGGGUUCGAGUCCACCUUUUAGCAUACAUUUUUCGACCACUUUUUUGUUAUAGGCUUGUAUCCACUAAAAUUAUAUUACCGGCUCUGAGUAAACGUGUGUAGCUAGAGAUAUUAUUUCCAUGUCUUCACUCUAUGAGCAAUUUAUUUUUAGAAAAUCCUGCAUACAUGAUUAAAGUAUAUAUUCCACCGUCCCUUGAAUAACGCAAAUAUGGUUGGAUAUUGGAUAAAACUAGCAUUUGUUUUACCUAUUAAGUUAAACAACUUCAAGUAGGUUAAUAGUCUAACAAACAAAUUAAAGGUAUGCCUAAAUCAAUAGGUUAAAUGCAUUAAGAAAAACGAUUGUACAUAUCAAUGGUUUUACAUCAAAAGUAACAUCGUAUAGAAAUAUAUCAUAUUAUACAUUUUAUGAGUUACCACAUAUCAAAGAAAAAAUGCAAACCGAUAUUUUCAUUAUAAUUAGCUCAAUCAUUUUAAUUUUAUAUUCAUCUUCCAAUUUCAUAAACUAAUAGCUGGUGGGUGCUUCUUUCCAUUGGUGAGUUAGUUUUGAAAUUUAAGCAUAUAUUUUUUUCCCAAAAUGGUGUUGGAAUAAAUACGUUUCAUGUUUGUUCAAAUACACGGUCAUGCUUAAGAAACCUCCUUUAAUUCUGUAGCUUUCUAUUGUUCUUUCUCACACACGAUGUGCAUUGUUUGAAACUUUCAAUAUAACCAUGUAAACUAACUGAUUUGAAAUUUUAUUUAAAACAUUAUAUUUUAUAAUUUUAUAUUUUAUUAGUAUAUUAUAACUAAUUAAAAAAAUAAUCAAAACUUUAUUUACGCAACACUUGUUCGAUUAUUAUAAAAAACCUUUAUAGCAAUUAGCACACACUUUUCAUCUCCUACAUUCCCAUCAAUUGUCGGUCACGUAUGUGAAUCACGUGGCUUACCUCUUCCAUAUUUGCUUCAAAUGUAUGAACUAAUAAAAUAAAAUACUUAUCAGUCCACAUUGUCUUUUAGCCUCUUUAAUCUCUAUAUAUAACAGCAAAAAUCAUUUACAUUUCUUUAAGUAUUCUUUACUUAAGUCUCGGUAAAAAAAAGUAUUCUUUACUUCAGAGAUCAAAUACACACUCAUGGAGAGGUUCCAUAAGUUUCCUCUCCUAGGUUUGGUUCUUUUCCUCGGCUUUAUCGGCUCACCGACCAAGGCCAUUGUACAUGCAUGCUCUAGUACAGAACUAACCUUCAGUCGUGCCAACUUCCCGGAGGGUUUCAUUUUUGGUACCUCAACCGCAGCUUUUCAGGUGUUUACACGAAUAUGCAUGUUGCUAAGUUGAUUUUUUCUAAAACAAUUAAUGUUUGUGACAAAGCUAUUCUUGAAUGUUAGCGAUUUUUGUGGUACAUUAAAUAAAUAAAUAAAUAGGUUGAAGGAGCUGUACAUGAAGGAUGUAGAGGUCCAAGCAUGUGGGACACCUACACUAAGAAAUUCCCACGUCUCUCUCUCUCUCGCUGCCUUUAUCUAAUUUUUUUUAUGUCAACUACUUUCUUAUAUAUAAUUCAGUUUGUCAAAUAAUAAAUGUCAAUUAUAUAUACAAUCAUCAGAUUUUUUUUCUUCCAGAUAGAAAUAAUUAUCAUAAGGCCGACGUUGCCGUCGAUUUCUACCAUCGUUACAAGGUAUUAAUGAUGUUAUUUAUCCAUGGUUUAUAUAUACUUCCGUAGCUCUUCUAGAAAAAAAUUGAAACUCUUUCAAAUCAUAUUAAUUUUAAUUAAAUUUAAUAGGAAGAUAUCAAGUUGAUGAAAGAUCUGAACACUGACGGAUUUAGAUUUUCCAUUGCAUGGCCUAGAAUAUUCCCACGUAAGUAAAAAGAACUUUCAGUAAGCUAUAACUUAACAUUUGAUGAAAGUAAGUAAACAACAGAAAAUCAAAAUUGUUUAACAGAUGGUAGGAUGGAGAAAGGAAUAAGCAAAGCAGGUGUGCAGUUUUACCACGACCUAAUUGAUGAGCUCCUCAAAAAUGGUAAUUUAACUCACAAACCAUACUAUAUUAAAACUAUUUUUAUUAAAAUUUUAGUUUACUAAGUCUUAGUUUUUUUUGAAACUUAGAAAUAACACCGUUAGUAACCGUUUUUCACUGGGACACUCCUCAAGACUUGGAAGAUGAAUACGGUGGCUUCUUAAGCGACCGUAUAAUGUAAGCUUGUUUUUUGUUUGUCAUUUUCAACUCACACGAGUUAGUACUAUAUAUGUAACUUAUAAACUGGCGUAUACUUGUUUCGUAUAAUUAGAAAGGAUUAUACGGAGUACGCAAAUUUCACGUUCCAGGAGUAUGGACACAAAGUGAAGCAUUGGAUCACAUUUAACGAGCCAUGGGUAUUCAGUCGAGCUGGCUACGACAUCGGGAAAACAGCACCGGGACGUUGCUCUAAGUACAUCAAAGAGCAUGGGGACUUGUGUCACGAUGGACGAUCAGGACAUGAAGCUUAUAUCGUUAGUCAUAAUAUGCUCUUGGCACAUGCGGAUGCCGUAGAGGCCUUUAGAAAAUGCGACAAGGUUUCCAUAUAUAGAACAUAAUCAUCUUUUAAAUAAAUUUUAGUAUUCAGGUAACUUGAUGAACAAGUAUUAAUUAGGAAACAUUUAUCUCUAAUGAUUUACAGUGUAAAGCUGGUAAAAUUGGGAUUGCUCAUACUCCGGCUUGGUUUGACCAGAACGAGCUCACAGAUGAGCCGCACAAGCUCUCAGAAGAAGAACACGCAACUCCUGCAACUAAUUUGAUUGACUUCGUCUUGGGAUGGUAAGAAAAUAUCUAGAAUAUUCCUAUAAUACAUAUAAUCAAGCAGUGGAAUACUAGCGGUAAAAAGAAAUUUUGGAGCUGUUAGUCAUUGAUUCGAUUUUCGCCAGUUACCAAUUCCGUUGAAAGUUAUUUAAGCCUCGGUCCAAACAUCCACAAUUACUUAUAUAUAUCAUAUGUGUGUGACAAAUACUAAUUUUCUUCAUCAGGCAUUUGAAUCCGACCACGUAUGGCGAUUAUCCACAAUCGAUGAAAGAUCAUGUCGGAGAUCGACUACCAGAAUUUACAGAAGCACAGAAGAACAAGUUGAAAAAUUCUGCUGAUUUUGUAGGAAUCAAUUACUAUUAUUCACUAUUUGCACUGCACGGCGAAGAGCAAGAUCCUUCGAAACCUAGUUGGCAGAGUGAUUCUCUCAUUGACUAUGAACGUAAAUCUUUUUGAAAAACUCUUUACCAGACUAUUUAUUAUUUUAUAUAGAAUUUAGAAUAUUUUCGAAUUUCGAUUUUCUAUUCUUUUCAGCUAGGUAUGUGGAUAGAUUCAAUGCCUUUACAAUCAAGGUAUGCGAUUUUUCGAAGUAAAAUUAAAAUGUGAACCUUUUUUCUUCUUAAUAUAUAUACUUUUCCAUUUUUCAGCCUGAUGUUGCUAAAGUUGACGUCUACUCAAAUGGUUUGAGAAGACUUCUGAACUACAUAAAGGAUAAAUAUGGCAAUCCUGAAGUCAUUAUCACCGGGAAUGGUAAUAGUAACCUUUACCUAAUUUGAAUCUCAGAAUCAUAUAUAUCAGAGAUCGAUUUUUAUUUAUUAGCUUUCUUUCACAUUCCAUGUAAACCCUGAGAUAUUUAUAAUAUUUGAUUAAUAUUAAGGAUACGGAGAGGAUCUAGGUGAGCAAGACAGAAGUCUUGUACUGGCGCUCUCAGAUCACCACAGAACAUACUAUAUUCAGAAGCAUCUCUUGAGCUUGCACCAAGCAAUUUGGUUUGUGAACAAAUCGUAUUUUUGAGUUUUAUUUUGAUAGUAGUGCUAAUUUAAUUAUUUCCUUUAAUUUAUGUGAUUAUAUUUAUUUGUAUCCCUUUUCUUAAUUUUGCAGCGAGGAUAAAGUAAAUGUUACAGGGUAUUUUCUUUGGUCAUUGAUGGAUAAUUUUGAAUGGCAAGAGGGGUACAGCGCGAGAUUUGGACUAUACUACGUCGAUUACAAAAAUAAUUUGACGCGCCAUGAAAAAUUAUCAGCCCAGUGGUACUCGAGUUUUCUCCAAGAUGGAAAAGAGUUCGAGUUUGAUCAGCACGAUGAGUACCAUGAGCACGAUGAGUACCAUGAGCACGAUGAGUUGUAGAGAGAAUGUUCUACUACCGCCUUCGAUAUUUUGAGUCAUAAACUACAAUCAACAAAUGUAUUUCCAUAUUCAAGAAAUAUAAUCAUAUUUAUCCAUAUAAAAACAAGUGAAGUUUGGAACCCUAUAUUCGUUACUGCAUCAUGGCAAAUUAAAAAAAAAAUUAAAAAAAUUAAAAUCUUUCCAUAAUAUUUUUUCCUUUUUUGCUAAAUGUAUUCAUCAUCAAUGUAUUGAUUGUUUAAAAUUUAAACAAGUGGAAAAGGGUAGAACUAAAAUGAAGCCACCUAAACAACAUCGGUCAGACUCUCUUGCAAAAGACGCGAGAAGUAGUGUUCUCCUUUCCUACGUAGAUCAGACGUCGCUAAACCGACUCAAACUUGAUUACCACUUGAUCUUUUAAAAUAAGAGUUGACAAAAAAAAUAACAUAGGUAAAAAUAGUUUUCUCUCUCUUCCCUUUUUUUCACUUUCUAAACGAAUAAUAUAUUUUUUAAUCCUUCUUCAAAGAUUAUGUCAAGCAUUUAAUUUUGUUGGUUAUCCUAUCGGUUUUUGUCUGUUGUCUUUCGUGGUGAAUGGUUGAGAUGUAAUUGUAGAAAAUAUAUUGUAGAAGUUAGUAUGUAGGACUUUUUUAUUUAGCGGUAAAGAAGUAGUUUUAAAAUUUAUUGCUACAAUAAUAUUUUUACUACAGUUAAAUAUAUUGUAUUAGAAAAUAAGGUUUUAUAUAUUUUUUUUUUUUAAUUUUUUGAUGUAGCUUUAAAAACCACUCUAAAACAUGAUUGGAAAUUUUAAAUAUUGUAGGUAAAAGUCAAAGCUAAAUACAGCUUUUACAGCCCAACCAAUCACCCAUUUUUUUUCUAAUAGUUUUGAGUGGUUACACAAUUUUCCAAAUCCAAACCACCAUAAUCUCCUCUUAUAAAUAUUUUGAUACUUUCACUCUUAUUCAGUUUUACGAUCUCUCUGUUUUCCAAGAUGAGAGAUAAUCUGCAGCGCCGUAUGCAACAUAUCGACCUAGGAGCGGAUGAAACGUCAAUCGCUUUGCCUCAUGCAGUUCGUGCCCAAGCAGUGCGUUCCAAUUGUUUCUCCAUUAUUGGAGCUAUGGUUAAUCCAAAGAAACAUAAUUUGAAUGCGUUAACUGAUGAGAUGCCUUGUUUUUGGGGUUUAAGUGAUGAAGUUAUCAGUCAAAUUAUCAACACCAAAAAAUUUUAGUUUGUUUUUUAGAUAAAGGAGCCUCUUAACAUAGUUUUGCAAAGAGGUCCCUGGUCCUUUGGUGAGUGGAUGAUCGUUACACAUCCUUGGGAUACGGCGGUUACAGAGGAAAACUUGAAAAUGAUUGCUUUAUGGGUACAUAUAAAGGAAAUCGCUCUCCAAUGUCCGCAUCAUAGAAGAUGAAGAUAAUGGCCCAUAUUAUGAUGGGGACCAUGCUACUGAUUGUGAUAUGAAUGCUAAAACAUUACGGUACCUUAAAGCAAGGCUUGCUAAAGGAAAGUUCCUUGUGGGAGAAUGUACAAAAUUCAUUCGCAAAUUGCGUUAAAAUGAUGUGAUUUCUCUGCAUGAAAAUUGUCAUGAAGAUAAUCUUUGUGCUCCUAUUUCGGUGGAUCAGAAUUUUUCUAUUCAGACAAAUGACGCUAAUCCCGUUGGCAUCCCAAUCCUAGAGAUCUCGAUGGCCGUUAUUCAUUCUAAAAUUUCUGAAUUUUCUCCUAUGACAUAUUUUUUUAAACAAAAUGGAGUGAAUAACACAUAAAUAGAUUAGAAAAACUACAAAAGCAUCAAAACACAAUUCACGCAUGUCACAAGAAAAUGAAUAAAAAAGUUAAGAGAUGAUUGGGAAGGCUGUAGAUGCUGCAGAAAGCUAAUUUUAUUUCUAAAGCCAUUUUGUAAAGCAAUCAUCCUUUACAUUUAGAAAAUAAAUCUACAUCAAAAAACUUAAAAAAGUAAAUAUGUUAACUUUGGAAUCAAAUUUUCUACGGCUUUUAUUUAGUGCAUUCAAUUAUCUUUGAAAAUAAAUCUAUAGCAAAAAAAACUAAAGUCACAGUCAAAACUUACAGCUUAAUUUAUAAAGCAAAAAAAACAUAAAGCUAUGGGGGUGAUUGGUAGUUGCUGUAGGUGCUGUCCACAGCCCUAUUUAUUUCUACAGCACUAAAUUCAGAGCAAUCAAGCUUUAAUUUUUUUUUUGAAACCACAGCUUUUAAAAUAAUCUACAGCUGUACAAGUGCUCUACAGAGCCAAAUAUCCAAAGCAAUUUUUUACUGCUUUCCACAAAUUCUACAGCAAUAAAAUCUAAAGCCAAAGCAAAAAGUCUACAGAUUUUUUUCUACAGCAAAAAUUUUAAAGCUACCGCUAUUACCAAUCAGACCCUAUAUCCUUCUCAAUCAAUCCCUUAAUCGAAAUUUGCUCCAAAAAAAAAGAGUAAUCUAAAAUAUCCCCAAACAGGAGAAAUUGCCCAAACAUAACUUUGGUUUGUCAUCUAAAAUUUAAAUUAAAAAAAAACAUUCUGAAUUACUCAGCAGAGUAUCUUAACAAUAAUAAUUCUCUAAUAUCUGAUAAAUCUAUUUUUAUUUAAUUAAAAUAGAAAUAAUCAACGAGGUGAAAAAAACUUAAAUCAAAUUAGAAUGGUUUUCUAUUUUUACAACAGCAAAUCACGAGUUAAAUUGUAAUGUGACAAAACUCAAAGACAAGCAAUAACACUAAUUUAUGAGUUAGAUACAGAAUAUAAUUAAUGCAUUCUCUCUUUUUCAAGACUCCACAAAAGUACAAGUAACGAUUUAAAAAAAAAAAAAGUCAAAAUUGAUAUUUUUCAAAAUUUUAACUUAAUGAAAAUUAUGAUAUUUCCUAUUUUUCACUUUGGGAAAAUAAAUAAAACAAUUUCCUUAUAUUUCUCACCAUCGAACCGACUUAUCUAUAACUAUAAAGGAGAGUUUUCUCUCACCUCCUUGUGCCACAUCACCAGGGAGGGUGGGGCUUUUCGUGACACGUGUCCUCACCUUUGAAGCUGUUUCGUCUCUUCUUCGAUGCUCAAGCGCCGUAGACCAAGGAGACCGAUCUAAUCCCCGAUCUAAUCCUCAGUAUUUUGUUAUUGCCUUCAUCUGAUACUUUAAUUCUGCGCAUCUGUACCACUUCCCCCACUUUCUCUCAUAAAUCCAAGGUAACCGAUUGUAGUAGUGACUAUAAAUGUGUUCCUUUCCAGCGAUGAACAUCCACAAUCCAACGAAAUCCGAAAGGCCAAUCUUUGUUCAGAAUCAACUCCAACUAUGGCGACGUCGUAAACUGUCCUUGUCGAUGUACAAACACCGCAGUUGUCCGUCUGAAAUAUGAUGUGAAGAGCACUAAGAAGCUUUGUGUUGUAUGUCUCUUCUUCUGUUUGUAUCCUUUGAAUUGAUGUUUUUGGCAUACACGUGUUGCAAGUCCUUUUUGGGUUCUUUAGUUUAUGCUUGAUUCCGGAGUUGCAAGUGACCAACAAUUCUGCAAAAGCUAUUACUCUUAAAGCUGAAGUCCUUUUUAUUCAUUUAAUGGGCUUGCCAACGUUUGUUCUCUAUGAGAAUGAGAUAAUAUCAUAUAGUUCCUGUUUGAUGUUUUCAGGCAGUGAAGACGGAAUACCUAUUCUGUUCAGCUUGGUUUGAGGUAAAAAAAUAUAAAUUUAUGAAUGAUCUUUAUGUUGAAGUCUUAGACAGUUGAAUUUAUGUGUUGUACUAACGGGUCUUGCUUCUUCCUCGACAUCCAUAAGCCAAUGAAAAAUACUUGGGAAGGAUCCAAAGAAAACAGGUUAAGAAUCAGUAGUGUAUCUUAUUAUAAUGAGAUUAAAUUUUUACUUUUUAUUGACAUGAAAAAAGAGUCGACAUGUAGAGGAAAGAAAGACGAACAGAACAUAGGAUUUCAAAUAUCCUCUUCUUUCUUUGUUCUUCUCAUGGUUUGUUAUCUUGAUCAUAAAUCACAGAAAGUUCACAUUUUCAAAAAUUAUUUGCUCUUAUUUUUAAUGGGGUUGAAAUUUAUUCACGGUUCUGCUUAGGAAUGAUCCGAAUUUUGAUUGUAUUCAUGAUUAUCUUGUCCUUUAUGACUGAUUCUCUUGCUCUGUAUAAAGACAGACUUUUAGGUAAUAUAUGUGCAGUCACAACAGCGAAUAAGGCACAGACCGCACUGGAGUUGCUGAGGGAUAACAGGAACAAGUUUGAUCUCGUGAUCAGCGAUCUUGAAAUGGACUUAACUGUCAUUAGUAUCACCUAUUAAGUUUCUGUUUGAUUCUUUUCAUGUUUCCAAGAUAGAAUGUUUUGAUCUCUUUUUAUAAUGUUUUGAUCUUGUUAAUUAUAUCUUGCACUGUUACUUGCGCAUAGCGAUCUAAAGUAUGUGAUGGAAGGAGUCAAGUACGGUGCCUGCGACUAUCUCCUUAAACCAGUUCGAAUUGAGGAGCUCAAGAACAGAUGGCAACAUGUGGUGAGGAAAAUUAAGUUAAGAAGAUGAAGAGCAUUUUGUAAAGAUCAUCUUGAAGAGGAAGAAGACGAAAGAGGAAAUGAAAACGAUGACACGACAGCUCACAAAAACCUCGUGUAAUUUGGACGCUAGAGCUGCACAACAAGUUCCUAGCUCGUCUUCUAACAACACAAGACGAGAACACAAUGAACACCAACUGGUUUCAGAAUGCUUAGGUUACGUAGCGCCUGAGCUAGAGUUUCAGAACUAAAGGGUCAACGAGAAAUGCGAUGUUUACGGGUUUGGAGUUCUGAUACUCGAACUCCUGACUGGUCGGAGACUCCUGGAGUACGGUGAAGACAGCUUUGUGAUACUAAGCGAUCAUGUUCGAGUUUUGUUAGAACAAGGGAAUGUGUUGGAGUGUAUUGAUCCUACAAUGGAGGAAGAAUACUCUGAGGAUGAGGUUUUGCCUUUUCUGAAACUUUCUCUUGUCUGUACUUCUCAGAUUCCUUCAAAUUUGCCUACAAUGGCAGAGAUUGUUCAGAUCUUGCAGGCCAUCAGUUCUCCUGUUCCUCACCGUCACCGGAUGCUCGAUAGUUUUUCAAAAAGCUCUGUGUUAAUUUGAUUUUCUAUUAUGCAAUAUUUUCUUUCUUUUUAUUUAUUUUUUUUACUUUUUUUGUAGAGAUUGCUUUCUUUCACAAUGGUAUGUUCUAUCUUUCUCGCUACGUCAAUCAUGAAUCAUCUUGACGAUCAUUGACCAUUGUUAUCAUUAAUAGGCUUUUUCCUGAGAAUUUUUCACGUGUUUGUAAGUUAGCAAAUAAUACAAACGUACAAUAAUUACUGAUACUGGAAAAACUAACUUUGUUUCAUAUCUACAUGGCAUUUUAUUGUCUGCUUCAUCAUCUUGCACAAGUGUGCGUACAUAUUAAUAUGCUUUCACCUACUUACACUAUAACUAUUUACAGAACCACUCUGUUUCUCAUAUUUACAACUUCAUUUGGGUAUAUACUACACCGACAUCAAGAAUUCAUAGCCGACGAUAACACAUACCGCCACACUUCAUCUGGUUUUCAAAGCACUGAUGAGUUCUCCGUUUGUUGUACUAUUUGAUACAUUCGAUAUAUGAGCUUUAACCUGUAACUGCGACAUUGAAGAAUCCAAUUAUAUUAUUGCAUACGCAAUCACUCUCCUCCUUCUUCAUUUUUAAAGCAAUCUAAGAGUCUAAAUUAGAAUUUAAAGCGAUACUUUUGAUGAUCCUAUAGGUUCACAAAUUCUGAAGAUCGUAAUCAAAAACGUGUUUGUUAGCUUACCCCUACGGAGUUCUGUUGCAUGAAGCGCAUAUGUUGAAAGAUGCACUACACAAGCUUUUUUUAAAGGAGAUGAGCUACACAUGCACAAACGUAAUCCAUAAUUAAAAAAAAAACAUACAACAUGGUAAACACAAUUACCAAACAAAACAUAAAGUCACUCUCCUCAACUGCACAAGCACACAAAUCAAAACAAACAAAUGCAGUUCCUUUUAUAUACUAUGCACAUGAACUUAAUAGUAUAAGUAUGUUGUCUAAAUAAAACAUCAACUUUACUUCUUCUUCCUUUUCGGUCGAAAAAACAUCAACUUAACUAAAUGUUUAGAUUCCGAUUAAAUUAACUUUGUUAUAACUAUUGACUUUUUAUUCUAUUUUUAUUAAAUCUAUUAGUGAUAUUCCACUUUGAACUAAACAACAUUAAAAUAAAGUAAUAUACUACGGUCGCUAACCAAUAUCAAAUAGAUCAGAAAAAUAUUAUUCUCUUUCAACAUAUUUUCAUUUUCAUAUUUUUAAAUAUAUUUUGUUUACUAAGAUUAUAAAUGAACUUUAAAUUUAUUUAAGAAAAAAUAUACUAACCCGGCGCGUAGCGCCGGAAUACCACUAGUAUAAAAAUAAAUUAGGGAUUUCUAUAUAUAAAACAAGUAAGACGCUUCCCUCGAAUACCUUCAUCGCUCCUCUCGAAAUCAAAACUCUCAAAGAUGUCGACGAAGAAGAUUGUGUUGAAAAGCUCCGACGGCGAGUCUUUCGAGGUCGACGAGGCCGUGGCUCUCGAGUCUCAGACCAUAGCGCACAUGGUCGAAGACGACUGCGUCGACAACGGGAUCCCUCUUCCCAACGUCACGAGCAAGAUCCUCGCGAAGGUGAUUGAGUACUGCAAGAAACACGUCGACGCCGCCGCUUCUAAGACCGAGGCCGUCGAUGGCGGCGCUUCCUCCGACGAUGACCUCAAGGCCUGGGACGCCGAGUUCAUGAAGAUCGAUCAAGCUACCCUCUUCGAACUCAUCCUGGUAAGGAUUUUUGAUUUUGAAAUUAGGGUUUCGUUUAUAGAUUGGAUUGAGAUUGUUAGGGUUCUCGAUUUUGAAAAUUAGGGUUUCGUUCUAAUUUGGGGGUUUCGUUUAAAGAUUGGAUCUUUCUUGAGAUUGUUAGGAUUCGUAUGGAAUUGAGCGUGAUUUGAAUUGGAUCUAAUGGUUUUGAAUUGGAUUUGGAACUUGCAGGCGGCUAACUAUUUGAACAUCAAGAACCUUCUUGACUUGACAUGCCAGACGGUGGCUGAUAUGAUCAAGGGGAAGACUCCAGAGGAGAUUCGCACGACCUUCAACAUCAAGAACGACUUUACUGCCGAGGAAGAGGAGGAGGUGCGCAGGGAGAACCAAUGGGCUUUUGAAUGAUCAAGAGAAGAUAGUCUUUGUCGUGUUGAAGCAAACCACCCAGUUUCUUCCUUUACGUUAUU